CAGCGAUCGACAAACGCGGUUCCCCGCAGUAUUUGCGUGAUCGCCAGGCGAGAAGGAUUGAAUGAAGAGCCAAUGAGAUGCCACCUGCUGUGGACCUGUUGCUCUGGUAGGCAAAUUGGAGUGGAUCCAAGUCAUCUCUCAGGCAGGAGCCUAUAUAUUUCAUCACCAACCUCUCAAAACACUUCAUCACUGUGGAUCAAGUGCAACUGGGCAAUAGCAAUUGAGGCAGUUCACCACGCUCUUCUUGGGCACCGGUACAAUUGAAGCUUGCUUGAAGCAGUGAGUACCACGCACUUCUGAAGCAAGAGGUUAAAGAUCUCAGUGAAAGCACAAGCCAGUUGAUCAGCACAUAUCUUUAGUUCAUGGCCAGGUACCCCGUCUGGUCCAAAUGUUUUUAGUGGAUUCACACUCCUGAAGGCAGCUCACAUGUCAGCUUCAGAGACUGAAACCAUUGGAUCUUUGGAAGUUGUUGGAGUUCACAAUGGUUCCUGCAUGUUUUGACAGCCAAAAAGAGUAUAGAAGGCAUUUGGCUCAUCUGGGAUCAAAGCCCAUGUAGUUUGAUUUAACUUUAUAAGAGGUGACAGCAUUCAAACCCCACCAGAGCUGUUGAGAAUCACUAAUUGAUUCAAGUUUGUGUCCCUAUCGUAUCAUCCUCUACCACCACCCAUGGCAGUGUGUUCUAGGCACCCACCGCUCCUUGUGUAAAUAAAAACUACCUCUGACACCUCCCCUAAAUAUUCAUCUAUUCAUCUUAAUGGAAGUCCUCUGGUAUUGGCCAUUGCUGCCCAAGGAAAAAGGAGCUGGCUUUUCCCUCUAUUUAUGCCUCCCGUAAUCCUCGUCAUCCUUUACUAAAAUCCAUAUACACUACAGCCACUACUCUACAUUCAUCAAUUUGUGUUGUAACUUCCUCAAAGAAAAUCUCACUUAGGCUGCCAUUCACAAAACCUCGCCGAUAUCCCAAGUAAGACUGUGCUUCUCCAAAUGCUCAUUAAUCCUGUUACUAAGAAUCCUCCACAAUAGUUUGCCCACCACUAAUGUAAGAAUCAUUUGUCUAUAAUUCCCAGGAUUAUCCCUGCAACCUUUCUUGAACAAUGGAACAUUCUUCAUUACUCUGGUUCUAUCCUGUGGUCAUGGAAGACAUAAAGAUCAUUGCUAAUACCCCAACAAUCUUUUCCCUCACUUUCUGUAGAAAUAAGGGAUAUUUUCUGUCCAGUCCCGGAGACUUAACUAUUCUAAUGUCUUUCAGAAGCUCUACAACUACUUCAACAUGCUCCAGCACAUGUAGCCUGUACUAGGUUGACUUCAGAUUCAUCACAGUUCCUCUCCUUUGAGAACACUGAACGGAAGUAUUUAUUAAAGACCUCCAAUACCUCCUUUGUCACAGCUUUCCCCUUUUAUCCCUGAGCUCUAGACAUCCUCCAGUUCUUCAUGUACGUGUAGACAGCCUUAGAAUUUUCCUUAAUCCCAUUCACUAAGGCCUUCCCACUUACCUUUCUAGCUAUCCUACAUCCCUUCUUAAGCUCCUUUCUGGCUUCAUUAUCAGACCCAUCUGCAGUACAGGCAGGAUGUUUAAGGUGGUGGGAUACUCCUCCUGUCAGAUGGGGGACUUGAAGGUACUUAACAGUCUCCAGGAAAUGCACCCAAUUUCAGCUCCUGACUAACAAGGUUAAGGAACUGGAUGUACUCAGGAUCAUCUGGGAGGCUCAUGGAUGAAAAUUUUACUGAGGUGGUCACACCCAGAGAUCAGGCUUCAGAGGGUAGAUGGGUGACCACCGGAAGAAGUAAGGGGAGUCUGCAGUUAAUGCAGGAUUUGCCGUGGCCAUUUCCCUCAGCAACAAUUAUACCCCUUUGGAUACUUCUGUGGGGGGUGGGGGGGGGGUGACCUAUCAGGACACAGCAGUAGCAGCCAGGCCAGUGGCACUGUAGGCUCCGAGCAGGGAAGAGUGACGUCUGGUAGAGUGAUAGUGAUUGGAGACUUGACAGUUAAGGCUGAUUUAUACUGUGCGUCACAUCUACGCCAUAGUUACCACAUACCCUACAGUGUAGGGUGACAUGUAACUCCCCAAAAAACUAACACACGCGUCGCGGCGAUGAAGACCACAACAACUGUGAUUGGUCCACUUGGUAGCAUCGUAUUUCCUCCUACGUAUUUCUGGUUGCUUCUUCUCCGCCAUGUUUGUACACCAAUGCGAAAUAGAUGAACCAAAUCAUCUAAUCUACCUGCCGACGUGUGAAAAUGUUUGAAACGCAUUUUCUCAUCUAUGUCUCUCAUGAAGAAACUCUACACACUGGCAUAGAAACCCCACUGCCAACUAGCAUUUUGGCGCACUCCAGCGCAUGCUCGCUACGGUGUAAAGCCUACGCAGAAGUGAAAAUCAGGGCUAUGGCGUAGGCUACGGCAUAGCCCAUACGUACAAGUAUAAAUCAGCCUUAAGGGAAAUGGACAGGAGAUUAUGUGACCACAAAAGAGACACCAAGUGCUAGGGAGCACUGGAUCACAGAUGUCGCAGAGCAGCUGCAGAAUAUUCUCAAGGGGGGGACGGGAGUAAUCAGCCAGAGGUUGUGGUGCACAUUGGUACCAAUGACAUAGGUAGAAGAGGUCCUCCAUAGUGAGCAUAGGGAGUCACUGAAGAAGCUGAAGAGCAGGACCUCCAAAAUAGUAAUCUCUGAAUCACUUCCAGUGCCAACUGCUUGUCAGGGCAGGAAUAGGAUGAUUGUACAGAUAAAUGGCUGAGGAACUGGUGCAGGGGCAGGAUUUUAGGUUCUUGAAUAAUUGGAACCUUUUCUGGGGUAGGAGCAAUCUGUACAAGAGGGAUGGGUUGCACCUAAGUGGAGGAGAACCAAUAUCCUGGCCAGGAGGUUUGCUAGUGCAACUCAGGAGGGUUUAAACUUGCUUGGCAGGCGACAGAAUCCAGAGCACCAGGACAGAAAAUGGAGGGUUUCAAAGGGAGUUAGAUGUCAGGGCCAGUAAAUUCAUGCAGGAGCAAAGUGAUAGAUACAAUGGGACAGAUAUUUUGAAGUGUGUAUAUUUUAAUGUGUGGAGUAUUAUGGGCAAAGGUGGUGAACUCAGAUCAUGGUGCAGUACUUGGAAUGAUGCUGUUGUGGUUAUUUUAAAGAUUUGGUAGAGGGAGCAACAGGAACGUGAGCUUAAUGUUCCUGGGUUUUGAUGUUUUUGAAAAUAAAAGAGAGGGAGGUAAAAGCAGUGAGGGAGUUACACUUAUAAUCAGGAACAAUAUCGGAGCUCCACUCAGUGGACAUAAUGGAAGGCCCUUCCACUGAGUCCAUAUGAGUAAAACUCAAAAAUAUGAAGGGUGCAAUCAUUCUGUUGGGAUUAUAUUACAAGGCCCCAAUAGCCAGCAGGGCAUUGAGGAACAUAUAUGCAGGCAGAUUAGAAAAGGUGUGAAAACACUAGAGUUGUUGGCAUGGAGGACUUCAACUUCCUGAACAUAAUCUGUGACCUUCUUAGUCCAAAUGGUUUAGAAGGGGCAGACACAAGGAAAUCUGCAGAUGCUGGAAAUUCAAACAACAUACACAACAUGCUGGUGGAAUAUAGCCGCCAGGCAGCAUCUAUAAGGAGAAGCACUGUCGACAUUUUGGGCCGACACCCUUCGUCAGGACUAGAAGGGGCAGAAUGUGUUAAGUACAUCCAGGAGGAUUUCUUAAAUCAAUAUGGAGGUAGUCUAACGAGAGGAGGGGUUGGACUCCACCUGGUGUUGAGUAAUGAGCUUGGCCAGGUGACUGACCUGGGUGAGCAGUUAGGGAACAGAGACCAUAACUCCUUUAAGGUUUUAAGAUAGUUAUAGAUAAAGAUGAGCAUGGACCUUCCAGGGGAGAAUUAAACUGGAGUAGGGCAAAUUACAAGAGCAUUAGGCAGGAACAAGGGAGAGCUAAUUUGGAACAGCUGCUUUUAGCAAAUCCACAUCCGACAUAUGGGCGGUGUUUGAAGACCGAUUACACAAGAGUAUAGGACAGAUACGUUCCAUUCAGAAGGAAGGACAAGGAUGGCAAAGUCAGAGAACCUUAAAUGUCAUGAAAGGUGAUGCAUUUAGUCAAGAAGUAGAAGUAUGGGUAUGAAAUGCUUAGGAAGUUAAAUUCAAACAGAGUCCUUGAGGAUUAUAAAGAAGUCAGAAAACAACUCAAGAAGGGAAUUUGGAAAGCAAGGAGGGAACAUGAAAAGUCCUUGGCAAGAAGGAUUAAAGAGAAUCCCAAGGCAUUCUAUUCACAAACCAGGAGCAAGAGGAUAACUAGGAAGAAGGCAGGACCACUCAAGAAUAAAGGGGGGGGGGGAUAUAUGCUUGGAUGCAAAGAAUGUGGGUGAUGUCCUUAAUGAGUACUUUACAUCAGUAUUGACCAAGGAGAAAAAUGUGGAGGACAGGAAGAUCAGUGUUGAGUGUAUUGAUAUGUUAGUGCAUUUCAAAGUAGAGGAGGUGGUGGUAUUGGGGCUCUUAAAAAGCAUUAAGGUGGAUAGGUCUCCAGGGCCUGAUGGGAUACACCCCAGGUUAUGGAGAGGUGUAAGUGAAGAAACUGCUGUGGUCUUGACCAAUACCUUUGUGUCCCCUCUAGUCACAGAUGAGGUCCCAGAGGACUGGUGAUUAGCUAAUGUUGUUUCAUUUUUCAAGAAAGGAACCAGGGAUGAUCCUGGAAACUAUAGACCGGUGAGUUUCAUGUUAGUGGUAGAAAAGUUAAUGGAAAGAAUUCUAAGAGAUAGUAUUUAUGAGUACUGGGAAAGCCAUGGCCUAAUUAGGGAGAGCCAGCAUGGCUUUGGGCAUGACAAGUCAUGUCUUACUAACUUGAUUGAGUUUUUUGUUGAGGUGAUGGCAAUGGUUGAUUAAGGUAGAGCUGUGGAUGUUGACGACAUAGAUUGUAGUAGGGUGUUUGACUAGGUCCCAAAUGGGACGCUCAUUCAGAAGAUUAAGAUGCAUGGGACCUAUAGUAAAUUGGCCAUUUGGAUUCAGAACCAGUCUGCCCAUAAAACUCAGGGGUUGACGUUUGAAGGGACUUAUUCUAACUGGAGGUCUGUGGUUUGUGGGGUUCCACAGGGAUCUGUUCUGGGACCUCUGCUGUUUGUGAUGUAUAGAAAUGACUAGGAUGAAAAUGUAGAUGGGUGAGUUAGUAAGUUUGCAGAUGAUAUGAAGAUUGGUGGUGUUGUGGAUAUUUUAAAUGACUGGUAAAUAAUACAACGGGAUAUAGAUCAGUUGCUGAUAUGGGUGUACGGCAAAUGGUGUUUAACUGGGCCAAGUGUGAGGUGUUGCAGCUUGGUAAGUCAAAUGUAAAAAGACAGAGGGAUGAGCAGAGCAAUCUUGGGAUCUAAGUUCAUAGCUCCCUGAAAGUAGCUACAUAGAUUCGUAGGAUGGUGAAGAAGGCAUGUGGCAUGCUUACCUUUAUUAGUCAAGGCACUGAGUUCAAAAGUCAGUAAGGUAUUUUGCAGCUUUAUAAAACUCUAGUUCGGCUGCAUCUGAAGUAUUGCAAACAUUUAUGGUCAAUUGAGUUGAAGAAGGGGUAAUUUCAAAGGAGAUAUAAGGGACAAGUUUUUUACACAAAUUUGUGGUGGAAUCCUGGAAUGCAGAUAGAGGUAAAUACAGAUAUUUAGAUAGGUACAUGAAUGUGAACAAACUGGAAGGAUAUGGACAUUAUGUCGGCAGAAGAGAUUAGCUUAGUGAGCCACUUGAUUACUAAUUUUUUUCAGUUUGGCACAACAUUGUGGACUGAAGGACCUGUUCUUGUGCUCUACUGUUCUAUAUUCUCUGUUAACCGUGCCUGAUUUUUUGCUUCCUAAAUCUUAAGUAUGCUUCUUUCUUCCUCUUGACAAGAUGUUCCACAUCUCUUGAAACUAAGAUUCUUUGCUUUACUAUCCUUUCCAUUCAGAAAGGACAUAAUGGCAGCCACAUCCACUGAGUCUCUAUGGGUAGAACUCAAAAAUAGGAAGGAUGCAAUCACUCUGAUACAAUUGUACUACAGACCCCCUUCCCCCCCCCACCCCAAUAGCCACUGGAACAUUGAGGAACAGAUAUGCAGGCAGAUUAAGGAAAGGUGUAAAAACAAUAGUGUUGUUGUCGAGAGGUACUUCAACUUCCCUAAUAUAAACUGUGACCUUUUGAGUGUGGGUUUUCAGGCUCCUGUACCUCCUCCCUGAUGGUAGUGAUAAGAAGUGGGCAUGUCCUAGAAUGUGAGGGUCGUUAAUGAUGGAUGCUGCCUUCUUGAAAGCUGUCCUUGAAGGUCUGGGGAUAGAGGGUUGCAUGGGAGUGAGCCAGUGCUUACUGUCAGAGUACCAAGUUCAAAGUAAAUUUAUUAUCAAGGUACAUAAAUGUUACCAUUUACAACCCUAAGAUUCAUUUUCUUGUGGGCAUACUCAAUAAAUCCAAGAACCAUAUUAGAAUCAAUGAAAGAUCACAUCAAUGGUGCGGACCAGUAUGUAAAAAACAACAAACUCUGCAAGUACAAAAAAAAUUAAUAAUAAUAAAUAAGCACACAAUAAGUAUCAAGAACAUGAGAUGAAGAGUCUUUGAAAGUGAAUCCAUAAGUUUUGGAAACAGUUAAGUGAUGGGACAUUUUAAGUUGAGUGAAGUUAUCCCCUCUGAUACAGGAGCCUAAUGGUUGAGGGUUCAUAACCUGGUCAUGUGAGUCCUGAGGCCCUUGAACCUUCUUCCUGAUGGCAGCAGUGAGAAGGAAGCAUGACUUGGGUGAUGGGGUCCUUCAUAGUGGAUGCUUCUUUCCUGCAAUAACACUUCACGUAGGUGUGCUCAAUGGAGAGGAGGACUUUACAUGUGAUGGAUUGGUCAAUAUCUACUACUUUUGGUAGGAUCUUCCAUUAAGGACAUUGGUGUUUCCAUACCAGUCAAUAUAUUCUUCACCACACAUCUAUAGACGUUCGUCAAAGUUAUAGAUGACAUGUCGAAUCUUCACAACUCCAAAGGAACUAGAGGCGCUGCUGUGCUUUCCAAGGCAGGUCCUCUGAAAUAAUAACACUGAGGAAUUUUAAAGUUGUUGACCCUCUCCACAGCUGAUCCUCCAAUGAGGACGGCUCAUGAACUUCUGGUUUCCUCCUCCUUAGGUCCUUGAUCUUGCUGACAUUGAGUAAGAGGUUGUUGUUGUGGCACCUGUUAUGAGUGCUGAACAGACCUGAUGGAAAUGGGGUGCAAAGUUAACCAUUCCCCCCUCCUGCUUUUGAGAACUAUGAACUAUUACUAUUGCUAUGCUGCUAAUGAGAGAGAGAGAUGAAGCACAGAAGCAGGGACAUCUGCUACACAUAACAGAGAGAGACACACAGUUGAUUUAUGUAUUAUGGCUUCCUGGAUUGUUUACCUUUCGCUACAAGGACGUUACUUUGCUCCUUAACAUCCCUAAGGAGACAGCAGGAGUGGCCUGAUUUGAUGGACAUGGUCAUUUUGAGUUGAUGGAUGGCUGAUACCCCAUCAGUGGGGAUAAAAGACAGGUGUGGGGAGACACCCCUCAGACACACCAGUGGACACUGACCGAGUGUUGUGCACCCACAGGAAGGUGGGGGCUUCGAGGACUGAAUCAGGUGAUCAGUCAAUAAAGCUCACAGUGUGACGGCAGGGCUGGUGGGGACUUGUGUGUAUGUCCAUUCAUGCCAGAGUGACGAGUCCACCACAGAAGAACGGUCUAGCUGAGGACGGAGGGGUCAUAACCGAAUGACCACAACUGUACGAUGGAAUCAGAAUUCAACAGAAGGUUUGCUGGCUGUAGCUGCUCAAUCUCUUGCUCUCUCUCCAACGAAUUACAAUACAAUAACCGCAACUACCUCAACUGAACUGAACUCUAUAUUCUCUUAUGACAAUUCAUUUACCCCAGACAUUGAUAGAGCUUGUUUAUUAUUGCUUAUUAUUAUUCUUACACUUAAAGUUUUAUUAUUGCUAACCUGUUUUAUCUGUAUAUUUGUAUUAUUGGUAUUGUUUUGCUUAUUUUACUAACAAACACCCUUGGUUAUAGUACCACCAGACUCCAACGGAUUCUUCUAUUUCUGCUGGUCUGUAAACCCAGUUAUGGGGUACAUAACACACCACUCAGCCAGACUUUCAAUCUCCCUCCUGUAUGCUGAUUCAUCACCACCUUUGAUUUGGCCUAUGACAGUAGUGUUGUCAACAAACUUGUAUAUGGCAUUGGAGCUGUGCUUAGCCACACAGUCGUAAGUGUAAAAUGGUUAGAGCAGGGGGCUAAACACACAGCCUUGUGGUGUACCUGUGCUAAUGGGUAUUGUGGAGGAGAUGUUGUUGGAACUGUAAGUGAGGAAAUCGAGGAUCCAAUUGCACAAGGAGGUAUUGAGUCCAAAGUCUCAGAGUUUACUGAUUAGUUUUGAGAGGAUGAUGGUAAUGAACGGCAAGUUAUGGUCAAUAAAGAACAUCCUCAUGUUUGCAUCUUUGCUGUCCAGAUGUUCCAGGGAUGAGUGAAGAGCCAAUGAAAUGGCAUCUGCUGUGGACCUGUUGCAGUGCAUUUUGCAGUGAGCUCUGUAAGAUGAUGCAGGAGGGAGGGAUGUGAAUUGGCAAGGAAGUCUUUGAGUACCUAGUGUUACCUGCAGUGAAUUUGAUUGAACAUAUCAGUGAUUGGAGGUCUCAAGAGGAGUGCAAAUGAUGCUUAAUAUUUAUGGCAGGUAUCAGGAAGAUGGUCACACUUUCAGGGAAGUGUGUCAGUCAGAGUAAAAGGAUCAGCAUUUAGCAGAAUCCUCGGUGGGGAAAGGGUCGUUAUUAGUGGUGGGUGUCAGAGAAACUGACAUUUACAGGGAAUUAGGGGAGAAGAUCAGGUUGUUCACCAUUCCUUGGAGAAAUCUGGCAUUUUCAGGGAGGCUUGGCAGAAGGUCACUAUUUUUGAUUAUUGGUGUUGGGCUGUUGUGGGUGAGCCUAUCAUUGGAGUCUGGCAUGUAUCUACUUCUCACACUUCUUCUAAAAUUGGAGAAGUAGAAUGGCUGAACUGGUUGCUGUGGCAUUUUGUGGGAUAGGUGAAUGUGAGCAGGGUAUGUAAUUAUUCACAGGAAUCCAGAACCUCCCAAUGGCCAAUUCACUGAGAGGCAGAAGCCCAGUGGAGGUCCCAGCUUGGUGACUCCUGACUGACAGGCACAGGGUCAGUGGACGAGCUCAAAAGUUACGGGUGCAAAAUCAUCUGUUGCCCUAUCUGUAUUUCUCUCUCUCACCCUCUCUGUCUUUCUUUAUGUAUCUCUGUGUGUCUCUGUCUGGAUGCCCCAUUAAAGCAGAGAUGAGUUGAAGAAAUACCAGGACUGAAGGCACUAUUUUGGAAAUGAAACAAGAGAAGUUCCACCUACCAUCCUCCCUCAGCUGAUCAACCUCUCGUCUCCAUGCCAUCAGAAGCCCUGAAGUAGAAUCUAUAUGGGGACCUCAUCAUCACCACCACUACCUAUCCACAAUGUAAUUGCUUGAAAUUGUCACAGCACAAACACUGUGGAGGCAAUGUCUGGGCCAUGCCAUUGACCCUUCAACCAUUUGGUUCUUGAACCAACUUGCACAACCCUCAUCACUACCUCAGUACAGCAAUAUAAUGACCACAUUGCACUGCAAUAGGCUUUGUUUUUUCUGUGUUCUUUCUUGUAGAAAGUAUUAUAUAAUAUGUAUUUCUUGUGCAUGCUGAUUAUCUGAUGCAAUAUGCCUGAUAAACUGCUGCAAAUUAAUUACUUUAUCAUUAUCACGUGUACUGAGGUACAGUCUUUGUAUAUUGUUCAGUUGGAUCAAUUCACUACACAGUGCAUUGAAGUAGAACAAGGUAAAAUAAUAACAAUGCAGAGUAAAGUGUUAGAGUUACAGGUAAAGAGCAAUGCAGGCAGACAAUAAGGCAUUAUUAUCAUAGAAUGUAGAACGUAGCGCAGUACAUGUCCUUGGACCAUUGUGUUGAACUGAACCUUUACCUAUUCUGAGAUCAAUCUAACCCUCCCUUACACAUAGCCCUUCAUUUUUCAAUCAUCCAUGUGCCUGUCUAAGAAUUUCUUAAAUGUACCUAAUGUAUCUGCCUCCAUCACUACUCCUGGCUGUGAAUUCCAUGUACCUACCACUCUCUGUAUACAUAAUAUAUAAAAAAACAACUCUGGCAACAUUACAUACUUCCCUUCAAGAUACUUAAAGUUUUAACCCCCUGUAUUAGCUACUUGCACCCUGGGAAAAAGUCUCCAGCUGUCCACUCUAUCAAUGCCUCUUAUCAUCUUGUGCACCUCAAUCAAGUUAUUCUCAUCCUUCUCUUCAAAGAAAAACGCCCUAGCUCGCUCAACCUUUCCUCGUUAGGCAUGCUUUCUAAUCCAGACAGCAUCCUGGUAAAUCUACUCUGCACCCUCUAAAUGUCUCACAUCUUUCCUAUAAUUAAGCGACCAGAACAGAACACAACUCUCCAUGUGUAAUCUAACCAGAGUUUUAUAGCACUGCAUCAUUGCCUUGCGGCUCUUGUGUUCAGUCCCCCAAAUAAGAAGGCAAAUGGCAUUUUGACCUUUAUUGCAAAGAGGUUGGAGGUCUUGUUGCAGUUGUUCAGGGGUUCGAUGAGGCCCUACUUGGAGUGCUGUGCACAGUUUUGAUUCCCUGUCUUAAAAUUGGACCUAGUCAUAUCUGAAGUAGGUGUGAAGGAGAUUCACCAGGGUAAUUCCUGGAGUGUGAGUUUGUCCUACAAAGAGAAGAUAAAUAGUUUGGGUCUGUAUUCCUUGGAGUUCAGGAGAUGGUGGGGGAGUACAUUAUUCAAACAUGCAAGAUCCUAAGGAGGUUUGACAGGGGUGAUAUUGGAAUGUUUUUACCAUCGGGAGCACAUAACUACAAGAUAAGGAUAUGGUCAUUUAAAAUGAGGAUACAUAGAAAUUCUUUAAGCAAAAGGUUACUGGAUUCUCCACUCCAUUAGAUGGGUACUCCAAGUAUUUGAAGUGGAGAUGGAUAAAUAUUUGAUGGAUCAAGUAACCGAGGAGUAUGGAACAAUAACACUAAAGAGGAGAUGUGCCCAGUGUAGAUCAGCCAAAGUCACACUAAAUGCAGGGCCUGUUUGAGGGGCUGUGACUAUUCUUGAUGAUAUUUUCAGUUUUCAUGAUGAACACCAGGAAUACUACCAAUGCAUGCUGGGAACAUGUGUUUGGAGAUGCUGGGACCUGUAACUGGAGAAAUUCAGCAGGUCAGGCAGCAUCUGCAGUACAAGAAACAGUUCAUGUUUCAGAUCAAUACUGACAGGACAUUCUUUCUUUUUCUCUCUCUUUCUAUAGAUACUGCAUGAUGUACUUGGUGUUUCCAGCAUUUCAUAUUUCUGCAUCAGGUUUCCUACAUCUGCAGGUUUUUGCUUUUCAUUUAUUGUCCAAAUCACAAUUUUGCCUCUUUGGAUCCUUCUCACAGUCUAUUCCAUCUCACACUAAGACCCAGCUUUGUGUCAUCUGCAUUAUUUGAAGUGUUAUAUUUGAUUUCCUCAUCCAAAUCUCUGAUACAUUUAGUGAAUAUGGGUCCAACGUUCAGCAGUGGGCCCUUAGCAGCCCAUUUGUCUCUGCUUGCCAUGGGAAAAUAUCCAGUUUAUUCCUUUUCCAUAUCUAUCAACCAUAUCAAUAAUUUCCCCAAAUUCCAACUGCUUCAGCUUUGCUUGCUAACCUGUUAUCAAAACCCUUUUGUAAGUCCAAAUGCACUACCACCACUGGUUCUCCAUUGCUAAUCCUAUAACUAAUACCCUCGAAAGAAAACUCCAGUAGAUUUAUUAAGCAGGAAUUGUCUUUCAUAAGCAUAUGCUGAUGCUCCCAAUCCCAUUGAUCCUUUCCAAGUGUUCAGUUCUUACAUAAUAUAUUCCAGUGGUUUUCCCCACUGUUAAUUUACUUGAUCCACCAUCCACUGAGGCUUUGUUAGGCAUUUGUCAGACCACACUUGGAGAAUUGUGAGCAAUUUUGGACCCCUUAUCUGAGAAAGGAUGUGCUGGCUUUGGAGAAGGUCUAGAGGAGGAUGAUCCUGGGAACAAAAGGGUUAACACAUGAGGAAUGUGUGAUGGCUCUGGGCCUGUAAUCACCGUUUAGAACAGGGGUCGGCAACCCGCGGCUUCGGAGCCGCAUACGGCUCUUUCAUCUCUGUGCUGCGGCUCCCUGUAGCUUUGGAAAAUAAAUGAUGAGUAUUUAAUUAAAAUGUAUUUUAUGUUAGUUUGUUAGUUUUUGAAAUGUAAUUCUAAAUUUGAAGAUUAUGGUGAUCUUGUACAAUCUAAAUAAAAUGUGUUUUUUGUCGCUAUUAAUAUAUGUCACCACUGCCAAUGCCUGACACCCGCCCGCCAGUGCGUGAUUUCUUUAAUUUUUCGAUCCAAGGUUGGCUAACUAUGGAGAAUUCUAAAAAAAGAAAAGUGACUGAAGAAAACAGAACGUUUAAUGAUACGUGGGCAGAUUCAUUUGCUUUCACUGCUGACGAGACUGGUUUACCGGUAUGCUUAAUAUGCAAUGAGAAACUAGCAAACAACAAAAAGUCAAAAGUUGCAAGACAUUUCCAGAAUAAACACGCAGCCUUUGCUCAAAAAUAUCCGGAUGGAGAUGAGAGAAAAAAAGCUGUUUCGGAACUGAUGCGGAAGGUUGAUCUGAGCAAAAAUCAUUUCAAGAAGUGGAUGAAGUCUGGAAAAUCAACUACAUAUGCUAGUUUUGUUGCCGCUCAGGAAAUAGUCAGGCACGGGAAGCAGUUUACAUAUGGUGAAUAUAUAAAAGAAUCUUUCAUUAAGAUUUCAGAACAUCUAUUCACGGACUUUAAAAACAAGAGUGAAAUUGUGCAGAAAAUCAGGGAUAUGCCCCUCUCUGCAAAGACUGUCAAAGACAGAACCAUAAAAAUGGCAGAAGACAUCACAAGACAGUAAAUUAAAGACAUCAAUUAAGCUGUGGCCUACUCGAUUGCCUGUGAUGAUUCUAAAGACAAAGGUGAUAUUGAACAAAUAGCGCUGUUCCACUGGUAUGUAAACUCUGCCGGGCCACAGGAAGAAAUGAUUGAGCUGAUACCUCUAAAAGGCCAAACACGGGGGGAGGACAACUGUGAGGCUGUCUUGAAUCGUUUAAGAGCCAAAGGAAUAAAGACCACCCACCUGGUGUCAGUAGCUACUGAUGGGGCACCAAGUAUGACAGGAGUGCACAAGGGAUUUGUGGCUUUACUGCAGAAGUCGCUGGACAGAAAGCUGCUAACUUUUCACUGCAUCUUGCACCAAGAGGCACUGUGCGCUCAUACAUUUCCUCCGGAAUGCACAGAAGUAAUGGAUGUUGUCAUUCAGAUUGUCAAUAAAAUAAUGGCAAAAAGUUUAAAUCACCAUCAAUUCCGUUUGUUACUGGACGAGCUGGAAAGCGCAUAUUCUGAUCUCUUGCUACACAACAAAGUCCAGUGGCUGUCCAGAGGGGAGGUGCUGAAAUGCUUUGUCGCGUGUCUGGAAGAAGUGAAAAAUUUCCUGGGCAGCAAAGGUCUCACCUUUCCUGAGCUGGAACAGCCAGAGUGCCUGUAAAAGCUACACUUCAUGGUAGACAUGACAGUGCACCUGAACAUGCUGAACACAGCUCUUCAGGGGAAAGGACGCACAGCCCUGCACAAGUUGGAGGAUGUUUUGGCAUUCGAGCGCAAGUUGACAGUGCUUGCCAGAGAUUUACAGAAAGGCACAUUGUCUCACUUCCCCAAUUUGAGAGAGUUCAAACAAGCUCACGACAUGAUAAAUUCAGAGUAUUUACAUUCUGCAAUCAUCGCAAUGCAAACAUCGUUUGGGAAACGCUUCUGUGAGUUCAGACAGGUAAAAAACACAUUAUCCUUCCCAGUCACUCCCCUAAGCAUUGAUCCAUCCCUACUGAAUACGACUGCAUUGGCAGGUGUGAGUCAACCUGAUCUUGAGAUGGAACUGGCCGACAUAGCCGACAAAGACAUAUGGGUGUCCAAGUUCAGACGCUUGACAGCAGACCUUGAAGAUGUUGCCCGUCAGAAGGCCAUUCUUGCUCAGAAUCACAAAUGGAGUGAUAUUGAAAACCUCCCCAAACCGGACAAAAUUGUGUUCGAAACAUGGAAUGCUAUCCCGGACAUUUAUGUAAACAUUAAAAAGUAUGCGCUUGCAGUCCUGUCGAUCUUUGGAUCCACAUAUGUAUGUGAGCAGGUGUUCUCCAACAUGAACUUUAUUAAAAACAAACAUCGUGCACGCCUCACAGAUGACAGCUUGCGAUCCUGUGUAAAGAUGAAGGUGACGUCGUACAGCCCUGAUGUGCAGACGCUGAGCGCUGAGGUCCAGGAGCCUAAAUCCCAUUAACCAAGUUGACAGCUGGCUGACGUUAUUUUUGGUUUGCUGCUGGCGGACAAUUUAAGUUUGGCGUUUUUCAUAAAUACAAGAAGGACUCAAACAGACAUUGAGUAUUUUACUUAAAAGUAACCUUCAACCCAACAUCUUUUUUUCGGAGUUCAAACUGUUUUUGUUGCAUGCAGAAAUGUAAUUUCGUUUUCUCUGCAGGAGUUCAUCGAUUUCAUAAAUGCAACACAUUAUAGUUUGUUUAUACGUAGCAUAAAGGCAAAAAAAAUGUUGUAUGCAGUGUUAUUUCAUUUUAAAUGUCAAACGGGUUUUGUGGCUCCCAGUGUUUUCUUUUCUGUGGGAAACGGGUCCAAAUGGCUCUUUCAGUGGUAAAGGUUGCUGACCCCUGGUUUAGAAGAAUGGGGAGUCGAGGGAAAUCUCAUUGAAACCUAUUGAAUGUUGAAAGGAACCGGCCUUUCAGAAAAUCAGACAGUA